UAUUUAUAAAAUAUUCAAAUCCCAAAGGAAACCACGCCCACUGCAGUGGCUUCAAAUCGUGCAGCAACGAUUGACGUUUUCUCUUUAUAGUCGGCUGAUCCAUGAUAAGAUGAGAUAAGAUAGCCUUUAUUGUCAUUGUACAGUCGCCUUUACAACGAAAUUUGGAGUACCAACUGAAGGUGCAUUACACAUACAAAAAAACAAGCAAUUUAAGUAAAAAAUUAUAAAAAAAACAAGACAGAAAUCACAAGAAAAACAUUUGGAACAAGACAAGGACAGGCGUGGUGAUUAAUAAAUAUAAAAUAUAAAAGGCCGUAAGCAUAUCUACUUUAUAGAAAGUGAGGUAUAUUUGUUUAAUGUUUUAUGAGUGUUAAGUGUCCUGAUUGCCCAAGGAAAGAAGAUGUUGUUCAGUCUGUUGGUUCUGCUCUUCAGGCUCCUGUACCUCCUACCAGUGGGCAGUAGGCUGAGUAGGUGGUGGCCGGGAUGGAGGUGGUCACGGAUGAUCUUUCUUGUUCUUGAGAUGCAUCGAGAGCUGGCGAUGUCAUCCAAGGUCUUGUCGUGGGGUCAUUCAUCCCGACUCUCAUGCCAUCCUGGCGCACCCAAGCCUUCAUCCGCCUGGAGAUAUUGGUAGCCUACCAUUGGAGGGGAUGUUCAUGCCUUUGUCUCUGCCUAUUCUGUCUGGAGUAAGAACUCCACACAACAUCCUUCUGGCUUGUUGCAGCCCCUACCCAUACCCAAGAGACCCUGGUCCCACAUUGCUCUGGAUUUAGUUACUGGUCUUCCACUAUCUGAUGGGCUCUCUCCUUUUGAAUGCUGUCUCGGCUACCAGCCCCCCCUAUUCCCUGCUCAGGAGGCAGAGGUCAGCCUUCCUUCAGCCCGGGCCUUCGGCCGCCGUCGCCGGCAGACAUGGAGAAGGACACG